rnacentral:rRNA from 1 species
AUUGAACGCUGGCGGCAUGCCUUACACAUGCAAGUCGAACGGUAACGGGCCUUCGGGUGCCGACGAGUGGCGAACGGGGGCGUAAUACAUCGGAACGUGCCCGAUCGUGGGGGGUAACGAGGCGAAAGCUUUGCUAAUACCUCAUACGAUCUACGGAUGAAAGCAGGGGACCGCAAGGCCUUGCGCGGACGGAGCGGUCGAUGGCAGAUUAGGUAGUUGGUGGGAUAAAAGCUUACCAAGCCGACGAUCUGUAGCUGGUCUGAGAGGAUGAUCCGCCACACUGGAACCGAGACACGGCCCAGACUCCUACGGGAGGCAGCAGUGGGGAAUUUUGGACAAUGGGCGCAAGCCUGAUCCAGCCAUGCCGCGUGCAGGAUGAAGGCCUUCGGGUUGUAAACUGCUUUUGUACGGAACGAAAAGCCUUCUUUUAAUACAGGAGGGUCAUGACGGUACCGUAAGAAUAAGCACCGGCUAACUACGUG